rnacentral:rRNA from 1 species
CCUACGGGAGGCUGCAGUGAGGAAUAUUGGUCAAUGGGCGUGAGCCUGAACCAGCCAAGUAGCGUGAAGGAUGACUGUUCUAUGGGUCGUAAACCUCUUUUAUAAAGGAAUAAAGUGAGGCACGUGUGCCUUUUUGUAUGUACUUUAUGAAUAAGGAUCGGCUAACUCCGUGCCAGCAGCCGCGGUAAUACGGAGGAUCCGAGCGUUAUCCGGAUUUAUUGGGUUUAAAGGGUGCGUAGAUGGCUUGUUAAGUCAGUUGUGAAAGUUUGUGGCUCAACCAUAAAAUUGCAAUUGAAACUGGCAGCCUUGAGUACGGUUGAGGUAGGCGGAAUGCGUGGUGUAGCGGUGAAAUGCUUAGAUAUCACGAAGAACUCCGAUUGCGAAGGCAGCCUGCUAAGCUACCACUGACGUUGAUGCACGAAAGUGUGGGUAUCAAACAGGAUUAGAUACCCCAGUAGUC